rnacentral:rRNA from 1 species
AUUGAACGCUAGCGGGAUGCUUUAUACAUGCAAGUCGAACGGACGCGCGGGAUUCGGUCUGGUGGCGUGUGGCGAACGGGCGGGUAAUGUAUAGGUACGUACCCUGCCGCGGGGGAUAACUACACUACGGCGUAGCUAAUCUCACAUCCGCCAUUCUGGGGAACGGCGUGGUUCGUAAGACCUUGCCGUUCUUGCGGGGACGGAAUCGGAUUAGCUAGUUGGUUAGGUAACGGCUUACCAAGGCGACGAUCCGUAGCAGAUUUGAGAGGCCGACCAGCCACACUGGAACUGAGACACGGCCCAGACUCCUACGGGAGGCAGCAGUGGGGAAUUUUGGGCAAUGGGGGCAACCCUGAUCCAGCCAUCCCGCGUGUGCGAUGAAGGCCUUCGGAUUGUAAAACACUGUUAGCAGGAAAGAAACGACGCGUACGAAUACCCCGUGGAACUGACGGUACCUGCAGAAUAAGCACCGGCUAACUACGUG